rnacentral:rRNA from 1 species
UACGUAGGGGGCAAGCGUUGUCCGGAAUCAUUGGGCGUAAAGAGCGCGUAGGUGGUUCGGUAAGUCCGCUGUGAAAGUCCGGGGCUCAACCCCGGGAGGCGGGCGGAUACUGUCGGGCUAGAGUCCGGAAGGGGCGAGUGGAAUUCCUGGUGUAGCGGUGAAAUGCGCAGAUAUCAGGAGGAACACCAAUGGCGAAGGCAGGUCACUGGGCCGCAACUGACGCUGAGGAGCGAAAGCGUGGGGAGCGAACAGG